CCUACGGGUGGCAGCAGUGGGGAAUAUUGGGCAAUGGGCGCAAGCCUGACCCAGCAACGCCGCGUGAAGGAAGAAGGCUUUCGGGUUGUAAACUUCUUUUGACAGGGAAGAGUAGAAGACGGUACCUGUCGCAUAAGCUACGGCUAAUUACGUGCCAGCAGCCGCGUGAAUACGUAGGUGGCCAGCGUUGUCCGGAUUUACUGGGUGUAACGGGCUUGUAGCCGGGUUGACAAGUCAGAUGUGAAAUCCUGGGACUGAACCGCAGAACUGCAGUUGAAACUGUGGAUCGUGAGUACUGGGAAGGCAGACGGAAUUCGGAGUGUAGCGGUGAAAUGAGUAGAUAGGAGGAAGAA
rnacentral:rRNA from 1 species